UUUGUUGUUAAUGAGGCCGACAAAUGUGUAUACUAUCGCUAUGGUGGGGGCGAAGGAGUUAUACUGUGUUUGUAUGUUGAUGACAUACUGAUAUUUGGGACUAAUCUCAAGUUGAUCGAGGAAGUUAAGUCUUUCCUAUCUCAGAACUUUGAGAUGAAGGACCUUGGAGUGGCUGAUGUUAUCUUGAACAUCAAGCUAUUGAGAGAUGAUGAAGGUGGGAUUACACUUCUGCAAUCCCAUUAUGUUGAGAAGGUGUUGAGUCGUUUUGGAUAUUCGGACUGCAAACCAUCUCAAACACCAUAUGAUCCUAGUGUGCUGAUUCGAAAGUCUAAAGGCACAGCUAUAGAUCAAUUGAGAUACUCUCAGAUUGUUGGUUCACUACAGUAUCUAGCGAGCGUAACGAGGCCUGACAUCGCAUUUGCUAUUAGCAAACUGAGCCGAUUUGUUUCCAAACCGGGUUAUGUACAUUAG
rnacentral:rRNA from 1 species